rnacentral:rRNA from 1 species
UCGAGGAUCUUCGGCAAUGGGCGAAAGCCUGACCGAGCGAUGCCGCGUGUGCGAUGAAGGCCUUCGGGUUGUAAAGCACUGUCGUGGGGGAGAAAGCCCGCAAGGGUUGAUCGACCCCAGGAGGAAGCACGGGCUAAGUUCGUGCCAGCAGCCGCGGUAAGACGAACCGUGCGAACGUUGUUCGGAAUCACUGGGCUUAAAGGGCGCGUAGGCGGGCCGCAAAGUCAGGGGUGAAAGCCUCCAGCUCAACUGGAGAAGUGCCUCUGAUACUGGCGGCCUCGAGGGAGAUAGGGGCGUGCGGAACUUCCGGUGGAGCGGUGAAAUGCGUAGAUAUCGGAAGGAACACCGGUGGCGAAAGCGGCGCGCUGGAUCUCUUCUGACGCUGAGGCGCGAAAGCCAGGGGAGCGAACGG